CCCAGCAGCAGUUUUGAAUAGGUAACUAAAAAAACAGAAUGGAGCAGUUCCUUGAUUGGAUUGAUCAGAGUCCACAAGCCCAGUUCUUUCAACACAGUGGAUCUAUUUUGAUUGAAUUUAUAUGCCAUUAGGAAGCGCUGCAGACAAGAUACCCGCACAGCCCCAAGACUGAGGACGGCGAGGAGGGAGGCCCAAGGAGGAUCGGAUGGGGAGGACUUGGUCCAGGGGCCCGCAGCUGGAAUUUGAAUCGGAUUCCAGAUGUCUGCAAAAGAAUCUGAUGGGUCAUUUGAGUCAGAGGUCUCACUUUCCUGGAGUAAUCAGUUUCUGCCAAGGAAUCAAAGCAAACAGAAGAGUGGGGCCCAAAGAAGGGGCAUCAGUCUGUGUGUGGCUGCCACCCACGUAGCAGCACUACUUACUGUGUGGUGUUAGGCUCUGUGUUCACAACCAUUCCAUCUUUUUCUAUAUUUCAUCACGAGUGAUCUUUUCAUAUAUAUUUUUAAGGGUUGGGAAUCUAACCUGGGACCUUGCACAUGCUAAACAAGCACUCUACUGCUGAGCUACAGCCUCAGUUUUAUGUGGAAUUUUUAUUCUUUAAAAGUUAAGGGAGAUUUUAAUUAUCUGAUCAGAUAAAAAUGAUAAUAAAGAACCAGAUGUGGUGGUGCAGCCUGUAAUCCCAGCUCUGGGGAGGCUAAGGCAGGAGGAUCACCAUGAGUCUGAGGCCAUCCUGGGCUACAUAAUGAGUUCAAGGCCAGCCUGAAUUGCAUAGCAAGACCUUGUCUCAAAAGGUAAAAUGAAAUAAAGAAAGGCCUGGUGUACUGCUCAGGGGUAGAGCAUUUGCCUAGCAUGUUUGAGGCCUGAGGUUUAAUCUCCAGCACUGCAAAACGAAGACAAUAAUGAACAAAAUACAAGGGGAGGCUGGAUUUGGCCGGUUCAUGCCAUACUGCACUGAAUAUAUUUAAUUUUUCAAUUGAAAUAUCAUGCCAAACCCCAUUAGAAUGUAAAAUUAAUACAUGUUAAUCAAAAUAAAAUAAAACCCAGGCCCUAGUUCCCUAUGUAAGAUAAUAACUAUACCAUAUGAACAAGAGUCUUCCAGACAGAAUGAUUACAAUGUUAAACAAACUGGAUACAUUAUGUAAAUGUGUGAGGUCUUGUUUCUGGUCACCUCUUCAGAGAAGCUGCUUACCUGCUACCUACACUCAUCGGAGCCUGGUGGGAAGGGUAUCUGAGCAAGCUCGUGGGGUGGUACAGUGAUGGUUUGUCUUCUGUGGGCUGCUUUAGGUCUGAGACCUGACAAAUGAUUAUGAAUUAUACACUGAGUUCUCUGUGGAGUCAAUGAACGAUAACUCACCCAGCACACUCUUUUGGAUUCCUCUUUGUCCCUCAGGCCUGCUAAUGUCUAAAUACCUGCCUAACAUUCCCCUCCAACAGUUUAGACCCUAAAAUCAUUUAGGGUAUUGGGGUGCUGUGUCACUCUGGCUAUUUCCUACUGAGUGAGGGUGUUGCUGUUGCAGGGAAGGAGUUAGGGUCCCUUCCCUUGCUAACUCCGAUGGGUGGCUGAGGCAUCAAUAUAGAUAGUUGGGUCAGAAGUGUGCAGGACCAUCUAAACAUGGAUUGACUAUUAAUGAGAAGAAAUGAAGUUCAGGAGAAAAUUUAUUAUAGACGAUCCAAAUUGGAACCAAGACUAAAAUGGUUAUGAACCUUUUCCAUCAGGUUGAUCCAGAAAGCCAAGACCAUAACAUUUCCCCAAAGCUAGGAUUGGAACCUGGUGUAGCCUGGGAUCAUUGUUUUAGGUCCUGCAAGGCAGGUCCAGGACAAAAAAGUCCAUCUGAAAUAUAGUUAAAUAAGGGGGAUGGCAAUUGAGCACCC
rnacentral:lncRNA from 1 species